GACGAACGCUGGCGGCGGGCUUAACACAUGAAAGUCGAACGGAAAGGCCCUGCGUUUGUGGGGUGCUCGAGUGGCGAACGGGUGAGUAUCACGUGAGGAACCGUCCCGUGACUUUGGUAUAACUUCAGGAAACUGGGGCUAAUACCGGAUAGGAGUUACUGGUGCAUGGUGGGGGUUGGAUAGUUUCGGCGGUUGGGGGUGGACUCGCGGCUAAUCAGCUUGGUGGUGGGGUAGUGGCUUACCAAGGCUUUGACGGGUAGCCGGCCUGGGAGGGUGACCGGCCACAUUGGGACUGAGAUACGGCCCAGACUCCUACGGGAGGCAGCAGUGGGGAAUAUUGCACAAUGGGCGGAAGCCUGAUGCAGCAACGCCGCGUGCGGGAUGACGGCCUUCGGGUUGUAAACCGCUUUCGCCUGUGACGAAGCGUGAGUGACGGUAAUGGGUAAAGAAGCACCGGCUAACUACGUG
rnacentral:rRNA from 1 species